CUGCACUAUUCAUCAAGAUCAGCAUUCUUGCCUGGGAUCCCUCGCAGCACUGGUGACCUUUAAGCUUUAUUUAUGAAGACCAACAAAUGCUCCUUCCAUCAGACUAUAAAGAUAAUUACUUCAAAUCGCCAAAGAAUCAUCUGUCAAUUUCAAGAGGUAAUAUCUUCGAUAAGAGAUGAUAGCUAGAAAUUUUAAUUGACCAAAACCCUGAUGUCUGAGACAAUGAGUAAGUUUCUAAGAAUCUUUCAAUUUUCCUAAGGUUAGAAGGUUUUGUUCUGUUUCAAACACAGCAUGAUAAGCCUAAACCACUAAACAAUGUUCUCACUGUAGCACAAUAGGCUUUGUAUUAUAUGGCCAUUCCCCUCCUAUGUUAGAAACAGAUUUAUUAUUAGUUUCCUUGUUAUAAAUUACAAGAUUAUAUUUUUAUUAAUUUUUAUUCUACAUAUUUCAGUGAGAAACUGAAUAAACUCUAUUAGCAACCCUAUCCCAU
rnacentral:lncRNA from 1 species